rnacentral:rRNA from 1 species
UACAGAGGAGCCAAGCGUUGUCCGGAUUGACUGGGCGUAAAGCGCACGCAGGCGGUUGCGCGCGUGGGGUGUGAAAUCUGGCCGCUUAACGGCCAGGCGCCAUCCCAUACGGCGCGACUGGAGUGAUGCAGAGGUCGAUGGAAUUGCCGGUGUAGUGGUGAAAUGCGUAGAGAUCGGCAGGAACACCCAGGGGGAAACCAGUCGACUGGGCAUCUACUGACGCUGAGGUGCGAAAGCGUGGGGAGCAAACAGG